CCUACGGGUGGCUGCAGUGGGGUAUAUUGGACAAUGGGCGCAAGCCUGAUCCAGCAAUGCCGCGUGUGUGAAGAAGGCCUGCGGGUUGUAAAGCACUUUGAGUGGGGAAGAAGGCCUGGGGGUUAAUAGCUUCUGGGAUUGACGUUACCCACAGAACAAGCACCGGCUAACUCCGUGCCAGCAGCCGCGGUAAUACGGAGGGUGCGAUCGUUAAUCGGCGUGACUGGGCGGAAGACGCGGGCAGGCGGUAAAGCCCUGGGCUUAACCUGGGAACUGCAUUGGAUACUGUUUGACUGGAGUGUGGUAGAGGGGUGUGGAAUUUCCGGUGUAGCAGUGAAAUGCGUAGAGAUCGGAAGGAACACCAGUGGCGAAGGCGGCACCCUGGACCGACACUGACGCUGAGGUGCGAAAGCGUGGGGAGCAAACAGGAUUAGAUACCCUUGUAGUC
rnacentral:rRNA from 1 species